GUGUGUUUGUGCAGGAUAAAUGGCAGAGGGAGUGGGAGUGGAGGAUAAAUGGCAGAGGGAGUGCAGGAUAAAUGGUAGAGGGAGUGGGAGUGCAAGAUAAAUGGUACAGGGAGUAGGAGUGCAGGAUAAAUGGUAGAGGGAGUGCAGGAUAAAUGGCAGAGGGAGUGGGAGUGGAGGAUAAAUGGCAGAGGGAGUGCAGGAUAAAUGGUAGAGGGAGUGGGAGUGCAAGAUAAAUGGUACAGGGAGUAGGAGUGCAGGAUAAAUGGUAGAGGGAGUGCAGGAUAAAUGGCAGAGGGAGUGGGAGUGGAGGAUAAAUGGCAGAGGGAGUGCAGGAUAAAUGGUAGAGGGAGUGGGAGUGCAAGAUAAAUGGUACAGGGAGUAGGAGUGCAGGAUAAAUGGU